rnacentral:lncRNA from 1 species
AACCCUCCCUCCCCGCCCCUAUUCUCCACAAACUCAACUUGCUCGACGCCACCGAUGCCCCCCAAUCCUGGGAUGAGAUUAGCAAAACACUCCAAGACCUCAAACCCCCCUCCACCUCACCCCAACAACAACCUCAACCUCCACAAAAGACCAAGUCCUUCCACACGGUGGAAGAGCUAGACGCCAAGCUCAACCCCAAGCCCGAGCCCAAGCCCAAGCCCAAUCCAGAAUUGAAAAAGCCCGCUGAUCAGAUAAUUAACAGUAGCAUAGUUACCGAGCCAGUCCGAGGGAAC